GAUUACACGCCGUUGCUGCAGAUAAAGUUAUCCAAGUGCGCUGACAUACUUCUACUGGUAUUGCAUAAAGCUUUCUCUUGUCUCGUCUUAAUAUCAAAGACGCAUCCAACAAUGAACCUUCUUCACGAUUUCACGUGUAUAAUGCUGGUGCUUAUACUUCCAAGACUCGCCAGUUCAUUUAUUCUGAACAGCGAAUGUGUAGCUCCGGUACCGUGUACUUGUUCCGGAAGUAACAUUUAUUGCCAAGGC